rnacentral:rRNA from 1 species
CCUACGGGAGGCAGCAGUGAGGAAUAUUGGUCAAUGGACGCAAGUCUGAACCAGCCAAGCCGCGUGCAGGAAGACGGCUCUAUGUGUUGUAAACUUCUUUUGUACGGGGAUAAACGCAGGUACGUGUACCUGUCUGAAAGUACCUUACGAAUAAGGAUCGGCUAACUCCGUGCCAGCAGCCGCGGUAAUACGGAGGAUUCGAGCGUUAUCCGGAUUUAUUGGGUUUAAAGGGUGCGUAGGCGGGCGUGUAAGUUAGGGGUGAAAGGCCGGGGCUCAACCUCGGAAUUGCCUUUGAUACUGGCGGGCUGGAGGUGGGGUGAGGUACGCGGAAUGCGUGGUGUAGCGGUGAAAUGCUUAGAGAUCGCGCAGAACCCCGAUUGCGAAGGCAGCGUACC